UACAGAGGGGGCAAGCGUUAUUCGGAAUUAUUGGGCGUAAAGGGCGCGUAGGCGGCUCUUCAAGUGACGGGUAAAAUCCCUCGGCUUAACCGAGGAACUGCCUGUCAGACUGGAAAGCUUGAGACCGGGAGAGGUGAGUGGAAUUCCCAGUGUAGAGGUGAAAUUCGUAGAUAUUGGGAAGAACACCGGUGGCGAAGGCGGCUCUCUGGACCGAUACUGACGCUGAGGCGCGAAAAGCGUGGGGAGCAAACAGG
rnacentral:rRNA from 1 species